CAAGUACACUCUGAAUGUUCUUACUUCGACCAUCUGCAAUCGAGACACCUUGUUGGUCGAUAAUUUGAAAACCCAACUCUUUACGUCUUCUGGCUCUUCGUUCCCUGUGCUGUUGAAUGUGAUACGAAACACCGGCAUCACUUGAACUUCGUUUGUGCACAUUUGUUGAAUUUUCUGGCAACGACAGGGCUCCGGGUGAAGAGUUACGGUCUUGCUUCUCGUCCACU
rnacentral:lncRNA from 1 species